CCUGAUCCCAUCCCGAACUCAGCAGUGAAACGAUGUAUCGCCGAAGGUAGUGUGGGGUUUCCCCAUGUGAGAGUAGGUCAUCGUCAAGA
rnacentral:rRNA from 1 species